CAAAUACUCCCUCCGUCCGGAAAUACUUGUCAUCAAAAUGGAUAAAAGGAAAUGUAUCUAGAUGUAUUUUAGUUUUAGAUACAUCUAUUUUUAUCCAUUUUGAUGACAAGUAUUUUCGGACGGAGGGAGUAGAAA
rfam:Triticum aestivum genome assembly, contig: Triticum_aestivum_CS42_TGACv1_scaffold_129879_2BL